GAUGAAGAACGUAGCGAAAUGCGAUACUUGGUGUGAAUUGCAGAAUCCCGUGAACCAUCGAGUCUUUGAACGCAAGUUGCGCCUCAAGCCAUUAGGUUGAGGGCACGUCUGCCUGGGCGUCACAUAUCGUUGCCUGAUGCCAGUUUCCUCGUGAUGGGUGACUGUGCAGGGCGAAUGAUGGCUUCCCGUGAGCAUUGUUGCCUCAUGGUUGGUUGAAAAUUGAGUCCUUGGUAGGGAGCGCCGUGAUAGAUGGUGGUUGAGUGACGAACGAGACCCUAUCAUGUGAGACCCCUACCGAAUUUGGCCUUCAUGACCCACAUGCGUCUUUGGAACGCUCAUGACGAGACCUCAGGUCAGGCGGGGCUACCCGCUGAGUUUAAGCAUAUCAAUAAGCGGAGGA
rnacentral:misc_RNA from 1 species